CUUUUAGAUCAUACCAGCACUAAUGCCCUAGAUCCCAUCAGAACUUCGCAGUUAAGCGUACGUGGGCGUGAGUAGUACUAGGAUGGGCGACCUCAUUGGCAGUCCUCAUGUUGCACAUU
rnacentral:rRNA from 1 species